rnacentral:lncRNA from 1 species
UUUUUAAUAAGCAUUAUGUUGUUGGAUAUCAAAUGGGAGAAAAAGGUUUUACAUUUGGUUAAUCAGGUUGUAUGAAUGUGGGGUAUUCAUGUGUUGCUACUGUUGAGUUGUUUUUGGUGGCAUGUACGGUUUACAAUUGUGUUAAGGGGGUAUUAUUAUUGUUAAUUAUAUGAUAAUAUUGGUGGUAUGAUUUGUUUUUAAUGAGAAUUGAGUAUUAAUAGGCUCCGUUUAUGAUGCCAAACUCAACAUUUGAGAGACGGAGGUAGAAGUUUAAUUGGAACACUUUGUUAGUUUGUGUUACUAACAAAACAGUUGUGAUACUAAUCUAGAGCUACUUUCAUAUUGAUUCAUCAUCAUUGAUAAGUUUUCUUUGGACCCUAUAGAAAUCAUAAUUAACUAUUCACUAAUCUGCUGCUUUAUUGUCACUGACUCUUUAGAUUGGGAAGCACCAUAUUGUUUCCAAAUGAUUAGUUUGAUAGGUACUUAACAAUUUCCCAAGGCAUGAGGCACUUGCUUUUUUUUGUGUGUAAAAGACUAACACCAUGCGUCCAUGAUAACUAUUAUAAUUAAGAACCAAUUUGUUUAAAAAUACCUCAAUUAUUGAGAACGACAUAUAUGUCCAUGAUAACUAUUAUAAUUAAGAACCAAUUUGUUUAAAAAUACCUCAAUUAUUGAGAACGACAUAUAUGUCCGAUUAGUUUGAUUGAAACUAACAAUUGUUCAAAUUGCAAAGAAAAUGAAACAUUCUCUCUCUCCUCUUUUUCUCUCCUAUUGCAUUUGGGUUUAUCCCUGUUUCUUUUUUUGUUGAUCUAAUUUGGGGUGAAGUUGAAUUUUGGUUGAACUAGAAUGUGGGUUUAAUUGUGUUUGGUUUUAUUUGUCAAUUCUAUUUUCGUAUGAUUAGUGUGUGGUUUUUCAGACCUUUAUGGCCAUUUUGGGUCUGGCAAAGGUACUAAUUUUACUCUUCAUUCCACCACUUUCAUUUGAAUGCCUGGAAAAAUUUGGAAUUGAAAACAUGAUUGGGUUGUAUUAGUUUUUGUGAAGAUUACUUCUUGAUUUGAGGUGUGUGAAAAUAUAUUUUGAUGAUCAGGAGAUGAGAGUACAAGUUUUCGCUUCUAUCUGGACAUUCAAGAACCACCAAAUUGCAUUAUGUUUUCAUCACCGAAUUCAGGACAAGAAAGCUGUACAUGCCUCAUGUAUUACGUAUAAUCACUUGCUUACAUUUCUGUUUCUCAUUUGUACCUAAUUGGUUCAGAUUUUUGUUUUUUUAUAAAUAGUAAUAUGUUCUAUGACAAGCUGGCUCUGUUUCUGAUUUCAUUCUUAGUUUGGAUUUAUAUAUAAACCUGCAAGCAUGCAGUUGAUUAGUAUAUUUGGUGUUUUCCCUCUUAAUGGACAAACUUGCAGUUACAUAAUAUAUAAGUUUGGUACGAUCUGAUUAUUGUGUUUAUCUCAUUACUUCAACAGCACAAAAAAUCUCUCCUAAUUAAGCUAAGUAGUUAAGCGAAAGAAGCCCCCAUACCUACUUUUCUUUAUGUGUAUAUAAUUUUGGUAUAGACAAUUUCUAUUCCCGCAGCAACGCGCGGGUUUCAAUUUCUAGUAUCAUCUACAAGUAAACCAACAAUUGAAGGAGGAACGUCAUCCAAUAUGAUACACAGCCCAGGUGAAAAAAAAAAAAAAAAACUCAGGUCGUUCUAUUUCCUGGAGGAUCCUCUUUAUCAGCAUUCUGGGGAUCUUCAAAUCGUGUCAGUUUAUCGUAUAUCAUGCGAUCAGUUUUCGUUAGGUACUAUUUAUAUUUAAUUUAAAAUAAAAUUAUUUAAAAUGAUUUAUGAACGCACAAUAUACGAUGAACGUACAUGAUUUAAGGAUCCCAGGAUCUUCACAAAGAGGAUCAAGAAAGGAUCCUCAUUCGUUCUAUUUAGGGGCAGAACCUUUUUGUUCUAUCUUUUCC